rnacentral:rRNA from 1 species
AGCGAACGCUGGCGGCAGGCUUAACACAUGCAAGUCGAGCGGGCCCUUCGGGGUCAGCGGCAGACGGGUGAGUAACGCGUGGGAACGUGCCCUUCGGUUCGGAAUAACUCAGGGAAACUUGGGCUAAUACCGGAUACGCCCUUUUGGGGAAAGGCUUGACUGCCGAAGGAUCGGCCCGCGUCUGAUUAGCUAGUUGGUGAGGUUACGGCUCACCAAGGCGACGAUCAGUAGCUGGUCUGAGAGGAUGAUCAGCCACACUGGGACUGAGACACGGCCCAGACUCCUGCGGGAGGCAGCAGUGGGGAAGUUGGGAAAAGGGGGGCACCCCUGAUCCAGCCAUGCCGCGUGGGUGAUGACGGCCUUAGGGUUGUAAAGCUCUUUUCUCCGGGACGAUAAUGACGGUACGGGAGGAAUAAGCCCCGGCUAACUUCGUGCCAGCCGCCGCCGUAA